AAAAUGACUCUCGGCAACGGAUAUCUCGGCUCUUGCAUCGAUGAAGAACGUAGCGAAAUGCGAUACUUGGUGUGAAUUGCAGAAUCCCGUGAACCAUCGAGUCUUUGAACGCAAGUUGCGCCCGAAGCCUUUUGGUUGAGGGCACGUCUGCCUGGGUGUCAUGC
rnacentral:rRNA from 1 species